UAAAUAGAUUAAUUUAUUUAUCGUUUAACAAUUUAAACUUAAAUAAUUCGUAUUCAAGUAUAUUAUUGUCAUUUAUCUCUCAUUUUUGUAAUUUGAGCUUUUAAAUGAAGAAAUUAAACACGAUAAGGCUAGAUUCAAUUCAAGAUUCACAAUCAAUACAUAGACAUACAUGGCGUGCAUCAAUUGAGAGAAAGAAAUAUCUAGAAAUGGAUUAAAAUAAAGCGUGUUGGCGUCAAUUACCCACAAAGAUUAUAUGAUGACCUGUCUAAGCCAUCAUAGUCCAACUAUGAAAAAGGAAAAUGAUUCCAAUAUUGAAUUUUAAUGAUGUAACAAGAACUUGAGAUUUUAAUGAACUUUAAAAGAUUAUAAAAUUCAUUAGAAUAUCGUGAAUUUGAAUAGAUUUCCU
rnacentral:lncRNA from 1 species